rnacentral:rRNA from 1 species
UGGGGAAUAUUGGGCAAUGGGCGAAAGCCUGACCCAGCCACGCCGCGUGAGUGAUGAAGGCCUUCGGGUCGUAAAGCUCUGUGGGGAGGGACGAACAAGCUUGGGGCUAAUCACCCGGGUCCUGACGGUACCUCCUUAGCAAGCACCGGCUAACCCUGUGCCAGCAGCCGCGGUAAUACAGGGGGUGCAAACGUUGCUCGGAAUCAUUGGGCGUAAAGCGCACGUAGGCGGUUCGUUAUGUCGGAUGUGAAAGCCCUUGGCUUAACCGAGGAAGUGCAUCCGAAACUGGCGAGCUAGAGUACGAAAGAGGAUCGCGGAAUUCCCGGUGUAGAGGUGAAAUUCGUAGAUAUCGGGAGGAACACCGGUGGCGAAGGCGGCGAUCUGGGUCGAUACUGACGCUGAGGUGCGAAAGCGUGGGGAGCAAACAGGAUUAGAUACCCCCGUAGUCC